AUUCUUUCUUCGGCAGCACAUAUACUAAAAUUGGAACGAUACAGAGAAGAGUAGCAUGACCUCUAUGCAAGGAUCACACACAAACUUGUGAAAUGUUAUAUGUUUUU